rnacentral:rRNA from 1 species
UACGAAGGGGGCUAGCGUUGCUCGGAAUCACUGGGCGUAAAGGGUGCGUAGGCGGGUUUUUAAGUCAGAGGUGAAAUCCUGGAGCUCAACUCCAGAACUGCCUUUGAUACUGAAAGUCUUGAGUAUGGGAGAGGUGAGUGGAACUGCGAGUGUAGAGGUGAAAUUCGUAGAUAUUGGGAGGAACACCGGUGGCGAAGGCGGCUCACUGGCUCAUUUCUGACGCUCAGGCGCGACAGCGUGGGGAUCAAACAGG